GCCGCCGUAACGUAGCUUGGUAGCGUGCAGGCCUGAAAAGCCUGAGGGAGGGGUUCAAAGCACCUCUAUGGGUGGGGAAAUCCCCUCGGCGGCCCCA
rnacentral:tRNA from 1 species